CAGGUGUUAACACUUUGUUACUUGCUAUUCCCACAUGCUGGGGAUUGUGGGAAAGCUGUCAAGCUCUCUGUCUUGUGUAACGCUUCUGUUUUGCGAUAACAACAACAACAAAACCCCUGAACAAAUGCAGAAGCUCUGAAGGAAUGCAGGGCUAACAACGGAAGCAAGAAGACAGUUUUGGAUGCCUCCUGGCUUUCAGGAGAGAAAUGCAAGAGAAGAUGGCGCUGAGCUGGAAGAGUGUGAUGGAACUUAAGAUAUUUGGACAGCCCCAGCCACAAGAGAUGAAGCUUAAUUUCCCAUGUAUGGAAACCUCCCUUCUUGCCCAUUGCUGCAGAAGUCACUAUACUAAGUUUCCAAAAUAUAAUGGGAGCCUAUUCAGACAUCAAGGUCCUGGUAACUUGAAUAUGUUGGUGGUGGGAAUUCUGGACACAUCACUCAAAGUUGGGAAAGAUCCUGUUCUUAUUCAUAUUUUCCCCAGAUAUAGAGGUGUACAGAUAAAAACAAAAACAACAACAAAAGAAACUGCUGUUACAAACUGCCUGCCCUCUGAAGUCAUUACAGCUCAGUGCUCGGCCAUGCAGAGCGAUCCCAAACGGGGCAUCAAGGGACACAGCCCCACAAAGCUGCAGGUGGAGCAGAACUCGCUGCCACUGCUUUCCAUAUGUUCCUUCCCAUGGGGGCCUGACUGGACCUCGACCUGAGGAGGAAGCAGAAUGGAAACUUAAUGAAGAAGUGAGUCCCAUCCCUCAGGAAAGUCUUUUUAUGCAUGGUUCUCCCAAGACCAAUUGUGGCUGGAAGGAUUCCCUUUUAGAUUUGGGCAUAUAAACUCCAACAGAAGCCUGCUAGCUGAUAUAAUGCUUAAACAAGAUUCCAUGAGCUACACUUUGGUCCUAUCAAGACAGGCAGGCAGCUGCAUGAGAGGUGGAAAGAGAGAAAAUGAUUGAGAUGAAAUCACCACCAACAACUAUUGCAGGCAGCAAAGCAGCAUUGGAUUCCAGCCACCAUACUUCUGCAACCAGGUGUGAAUGAGCCUGAUGGGAUGUUAUUAUGGAUCCUACACUGAAAAAGGCUGCUAUUUUGAGCUAACCUCAGUACCCACAGAGGGCUCCAUGACCCAUCCAUCGACUGCUGAGCUUGCUAUGAGACUAACUGCAACUCUGAGCCUGGUUUUCCCUCCCAUCUGGCAGUGAAAAUGAACUGCUGCUGACUGAAUGACCACUGAUUCUCUUGGAAGCAGAGCUCUGCUAAGAGCAACAGCCAACUCUGUCACCAUUUGUGAGGAUUUGUAGCUUGGGCCCUGAGACAUCUGGCUGAGAUAUUUACACAGUCCUGUAUUGCACUCGCUGAGGCUGUGCGUUCACAUCUGGAGUCUAGACUGAGUGACUCUAUGGGCUGGCCUUCAAGCCUCCGAACAGCUUAUGUCCCUCUUGUUCUCUCAUUUUGUCCUUUUAUUGUUUUAUUGGUUUAUUUAUUUGCUGUAGGUGCUCCUAUCACAACUCUUCAGACAUUCCUGUCAUGACCACUUGAGAGCUUCAGUGAGGAAUGACAGCAACUGAAAGAAACCAGGCAGAACCAGAUGGGAUGGGUAGGGAAAAAAGGCUCUGUUGAGGCAAGGCUUUGAUUGCGUGGUUAUGGUGAUGGGGGAUGCCUGGUGCUUGAUUACGCUGUUUCUUCUGAGGCAUACAGCUGUGUUUGUGGGAAAUGACAGUGCUCAUCUGAACAGGGUUUGCAUUCAACACAAGCGACAGGGAGCAGUGGUUUCUGUAAGCUGUUAGCUGGCCACAUGGCUGAGCCAGGCAGGAGGAUGAGUUGCCCAGUACCCCGAGUCAGAUCCAUCAGUGGGAUGCAGUUACAACCUGGGUCAUAGCAGAGCUUUCUGCCUCAAGCUGGCUGAAGCAGUCCUCUGGCUGGAGAUAACCUUCAUUCAGUCUCCUCAGGGGUAAGGCAGGGGGCCAAGACCUAAAACAGGACAUGAUGGGUAGAAUUCAGUGCCAAAAUGUAGAGAUCUGAGGUACCUGAGUUGCUGGCACAGGCCUGGUAGAAUAGGAGAGACCUAGAGCAUCUAAAAGAGACAUCCAGCUUUAGGAAAUAAAUCUCUUCCACUAUUUCCUGUGUUCUGCCUUUGUGUUUAGUUAGGAAUCAUGUUUUAAAUUUGGGAUGCUACAAGCUGUAGCCCUGUACUGGUGCCAUACUGCAACAAGUGGACUCCUCCUUGGUCUGAGCACUGGCCCCAGCAAUAUUGGCUGCUGCUGCUAUUCCACACUGGGAGCACAUCUUCCCAAAUGGUGCUGCUCUCAUUCUCAGCCUCUUCAUUUCUUUCCCUGAGCCUUUAGUCUAUUAGUUCCACUUGCUCCUCUGUCCCAAAUUCUCCUUUGUUUUAGAUUUCCUGGUUGCUUAGCAGGCCUGUUUGCUGCUGCUGGAGAAAUACUGCUGGAGAGUCAAGAGCCAAGUAUUUUUGACAACUGUGAAGUUAUGACCAGGAAAUGCAGUGGAGAAACGGAAUGAUCUAGUAGGGAAAAUGAAUGUAGUGCUUGAAAGGUUGAGUACUGUGGAUGUACAUGUUUGUGCAGGUAGAUCUGUAUGUAUUUCGAUAUAGAUAAACCAGAAUCUACAUUAAGGGAAUGCCACAAACUCUAGAAAUUCAAACGCUGAAAUACAGUUUAAUUCGCCCUUUAAAGAAGGGCAAAAAGGGAUUUCAGAUAUUCUCUGUGCACUUAAAGUAGCCAGCAAUCGUGAUGGCAGUUCUAAGUAAAGGGCCUUAAUCAGAGUAUAUAAAAAGCCUGAUGAUGUUUGAAAAAGAGGUCCAGCUCCCAAGCAUUGUCUCUUUCCCACUAUCAAUGACACCCAUUGUGCAAUAACAACAUUUGCACAGAGAUAUGUCUUGUUUUGUGCACAGAGAAUGUAUCAAAGCAGUCAUAGGGCUGCACUAGCCUUGGCUAAAAAAGUCCCCAAGGGCCUGUCUGCCAGCUGCUGACUGAUGUAGAGCCGCCACUGCUGAUAAUAGGGUACAUGUGCUGGCUUUGAGCUGAACUAGGCAAUCUGGGGCACAGUUAGAUGUGCUCAACAAGGAUCAAGUUCAAACCUGUUUAAGAAGUUAGUUCCUGUCAGUGGUGAUUUAAGCUAAGUAGUUUUUCUGUGGAUUAGGAAGGAUGAGAAACGCUCACACAGUCAGCUACUUCAUCUUGGCUGUCACAAUGGUGAUUUCAACACAGCCAGGGGAGUCAGAAAGACAACAAACAGCUGAGAUCUGUAACUUCCUAAAUCACACAGACACAAGCUGCUGAAGGUGUAUUUCCAUUAGAUGUUUGUCUGCUUGUAUGUAGCGGAAUUAUGCUGCCUACUUUGCUUCUUGCAAGCAAAUGGAAUCAAGAAGUGCUUAGACCUUGGAGAUGUAGAUCAUUGUCCAAGACUGGGAAAAGCUGCUGUUGACUGAAUGUUGCUGAUCCAUUCAGAAGCUCAACUGCAGCAGGAAGAGUGUCAGUGUGGGUGAGGCUCGAGAACAUAGGUUUUUGCUGCAGAGAUUGACAUACCAUGGCUGAAGAGCACAUGUAAAUUUCCUCUAAAAAAAAUGAUCACUGCAAGAUUCAAGAAAUGUAAACACACUAAUAAGUAGACAAAAGAACAUUGUACGUGGCAUCUGUGUUAAUGUCACCUGAAUUCUUUAUCAGUCACGUUCCUUCUAGGAAUAUCCCACAUGUGGUAAGCAGGAUAUACUUUUGUGCAAAUAGUGUUUCACACCAUCUGGCAUCACUGAGGUCAGCUGCACUGUCUUCCAGGCUUGGGAGCCAAAGUUGGCCUUGUGUCAGAACAGUCAUAUUGUGAAGUAGCUAAGCAGAGCUCCUCUGUGUUUCCCAAAAUUAUUCAGUUCCUUCUUCAGAAGAUCAUGCUUUACACAGCAGGAAAUGCAACUAGAGUUCUUUCUAGUAAUUACUGCCUCCUCAAAGUAUUAAUGCCAUAUUCUCGUGGUGUUCUGGAGAAGCAACUCAGCUGUUAAGCAUUCUUUUUCCUGAGAGAUCAUAGUGAGAGCACUUUCAGGAAGAUCCAGAAAACGAUCUGCAUGUUUAAGCUCUAGGUAAGCUCUGAGCUGUAAGUUAACCCCAAUAACCCCAACGAUGAAAUUCUGGUUGGUUGUACCAGUAAGAGUUUAGAGAUAUUAAACAAAACAAAACAAAAAUUAAACAAAACAAAAGACUACUCUGGCUUGGCUUGGACAGGCUACACUGAAACAAAGGUUACUUCUGUCUAGAAUAAAUUCUUCUAUCUCCUAAGUGAUCAUUUUAUUUUGUAGUGAAAUGGCAAGUGAAAAAAAAAAUCCAACAAAAACAAAAUAAACAAAACAAGCAACAACAACAACAAAAAAAACCCACAAGGAAAAUGGCUUAAAUCUUAUUAACCUGGCAAGGGUCCCACUGACCACAAUAGUAUUUUACCUUUGCAAGGAUUAAGAGAACAGCAGGGUCUGAACAGUCAGUCACUUAGUUGGGUUGUUGGUGUUUCUAAACCUUUAAUAAGGCAGUGCUGAAUGCAAAUAUCUUAUAAUCUGAAUGCAGAGAUCUUAUACCAUCACUCAAGACCUCUUGAAGGCAAUGCAUACAACAUACAAAUAGAAGCUGUAAUCUAUAAUGCCGCAAAUCCUUUAGGAGGAUUAUCUCUGUUAUCUCAUCUGACAUCAGAGAAUUACAUGUAAUAUAGGCACAUAAAUGGCUUAGUCACAGAGAGAUCCUUUAGAAAAGGGUAGUAGAGAGGAAGUUUUGUUUGUUUCUAAGCCAGGAAGAAGAGGGAAAGUUCUUCCAAUGACAAAUGGAUCUGAGUUAAGGUCCUCUUUGGGUUCACAGCACAUCUUGCUCACUAGAGAGAAUUAGCUAGGGGAACUGAGCUCUCACUGUCUUGAUUUGCAUGUAGUCAUUUACAGCCAUGCAAAGAGUGGGUGUCACACGUGCUUGUGCCUACAUUACCCUUUGGUUAAGAUCAGUCAAUCUACAUGACUACUGGGGCCUGUUGGGAAGUGGCAGACAAUCAAUGAUUGAAUGCUGUAGUUCACACUGGCCAAACAAAAGCCCUAGAUUUGAAUAACCUGAGCUCAGGGUAAGAUUGCUUGACUUAUGAGGUUCAGUUGCAUAGCUAAACUGAUGAUUUACUCGUUGCAGAGCCAGCCUGGGUUCAUCUUUUAUAGGUCUCUCCUACUGUCUUCACUUAUUUUUCUUUAUAGAACCCUCCUGGUUUCUUCAAAGAGAAAGUGAAAAACGGAUACAGUAUGAUGCAGUUUCCCUGUUUUCUGUGACUUUUCUUAUCCUUUCUACCUAUCUUUUCUCUUUUUUCAGUAAGGUGAAUGAGAUUCUAACCUAUUUGUGACUGCUUGCUCUAGUUACCUUAUUCCCUUUUCCAUCUCAUUUGCAUAUCACCCUGUUUUUCCUCUUAAAAUCUCACUUUGGCUUUUUUUUUUUUUUUUUUUUUUUUUACAAACAAUAAAAGCAAAAUUUGUCUGUCCCUUCUUAAAAAUAUUUAAUUAGAAUCCUAUCCCUCUGUAGUUAGCAACUAAUUACCAACUCUUCCCUUCCUUUCAUCUCUAAUUGCAUCUCUGACAGCAAUGAAUGUGUUGUUUAUUGCCCAUAAGCCAAUGCCAGAGGUGCUGUCCCAGAUCCUCUCCAGUCCGGCCACUCUCACUCUCUAAUGAUGGUAGGACAAAAGGAAAAGAAGGGAAAGGACGUGUUGACAUACCUUGUAGUUUUAAAUAUCUAUUUUAUGUUCUCCUGUUUUGGGGACUGAUUAAAAACCCACUAAAUCUAAUUAAGUCUUUCAAUUGAUGUAAUGAUCUUUAGACCAGGACUAGGAAAAUCAUAAAUUGUGUGAAUCAGGGUUCAGAAGGAGUUCCAGUAUUUUUGUUCAUAGAUGGCUUGUUUCCUGUAGCUUUCACACUGUCCUUUCCACUCCACUGACCUCUGUCUGAUCGUAUACAAUCUCCUUUAUAUUUGCUUUUGCAGGAUAAGUAGUUGGAUGUGCAUAGAAGAAUGUUCCAUUUUCCAAAAGAAUUUCUUGGAUUCCCUGAAGAGAUUAGUACGAAAUUUUAAUUAGGGGCAUUGGCAGAGUUCCCAAAUGCUGGUAUAUUAGGCAGCAGUUUUCAUUUUCAUCCCCCCAUUUUGUUUCCUAUACAAUACAUAGGAUUUCGGUGGAACUGUGAGAUUGAUGAUUGGUUUACUUCAAAUGAUGUACGUCUCAUCCCCCUCCUUUUUGUCCCUCCCAUUGAUACGGAUGAGUCAUGAUUAGCAGCAGUCUUGUCUUUCCCUUCCAAAGACUGGGGAGAUUGCCCAAUGUUCUGAUUACAAUUGUCCAAAAGAUGUCAGAGUCUGAAGUGACCGGUAAAAUUUCCACUAAAACUCUGGAAGGCUUACAGGAGGCAAGUGUCAUUAAUUAAGUUCUAAGAACCUCUACAGUGCUGUGGGAACCUGGCAUAAAAUACGCAAGCUGAACUUUGUUUGCAACUUCCUUCUAUUUAGGAAUUCAUUAAAGGACUGGAGCGUUUGCAGGGAUUUCAGGACCCAGUGCUAGAAUGGCUAAUUGCUGGCUUGGUCUUUUGUAUACAGAGUAUCACAUAAAAGGACUGUGAUCAAAGAAUGCAGGUGCUGCUGAGGGCAAUCAGAAUGCAAGUAUGGUGAUUGCUUGCCGGAUACAAUAUAUAACGUUUCAUUUAGCUGUGCUUUGCUUUGGUCCGUGAUUGGAUUUUGCAGGAGUUGGUGAAUGAUUUUGACUGAAGUGAUUUAAUAAAUGCAUUGUUUGAGCAGAGCUGGAAGUUUAUACCUCUUCUUUCAUCUUCCUGUUUUUUUUUUUUCCCUACCAGCACCCAAGAGGAACAUAACCACCACUGCAGAUUUAACUUUGUUGAAGUCUUUAGUAAGUUUAAGUUGCUGUUGCCUUCCUCAGUCUGCUACAGGUGACUGCCAGUUAAUUUUAGCUGCAUCUGGGGUCUUGCAGUGGAGGAGAGCCAAGUUACAAGAUGUAGUUUAGCUUACGUAUCUUCACAGUCACUGCUUAAGAAAUUGCCAAUAAUGUUAUUACUCUAUUUAUCAUACCUCUAUUUUCUUCAGUUCCUUCUGCAACCAUUCUCAUCAAAUGGCAAAGCGAAGUCUAUACUGAAGCUUUUUCCUUUUUUAAUAACCAUCUGAUUUGAUCAUCCCCCAAAAUGGCACAAACCAUAUGAAACAAGUAGAACUGUGGCCCCUGGCUUGGAGAACAUGCAUGAGUAAUUAAAUCAUAUGCCCUUCUGUCACCAUUUUUUUGCAGGGAGAGGGAUUAAAAUCUGUGUUCACAGGCUGAGAGCAGGUGUCUGCGAUGAGAUCCCAUGCUGUGACAUGCAUGCAGCACACUCUUACAUGAAAAGCCCUGGCUGAUGAAAUGACCACAGGAAGACAACACAGAACCCUCCUGGCAGGAUCAGAAGAAGCUUAAUUAAGCUCUGUGGUUAAUGUUAAAGUCCUUUUGUCAGAAGCAUAACAAGGAACUUCAGUCUGGCUUUCAAAAGUGCUGAACACCCAAAACUCCUACUGAGGUCUCUGUGAAUCACAGAGUCUGCAAAAGCAAUCUUGGGAGACAGCCACAGGUGAAAAUGACUGCAUCUUAUUAUGCCUGCAGCACAGAACAAGUGACUCUUCCCUUCACUCUGCAAGUGCUACAGAUUCAUGUGCUUCUACUAAAAUCUCCACGUGCCCGGCACUACAGAAGAGGAAGUGUGGCUCUCUGAACUGAGAUUUUUGGAUGAAGCUCCAAAAAAUGCUUCUGCUUCCAGCACUCCCCACCCCAUCCCACAGGCUGUCUCCUGGCCUUAUGCUCCUGUGUAUUGAGGGAAGGCAGCUCUUCUGCCCUGCAGGUGGAGAAAUCCCUUGGCCAGGCCUUGGUGGAUCCUUCAGGCCCAGCCUCUGUCCCACGGCUGCUCCCCAGCGCAGCACUCAUUUCUGCUGCAGAGAUGCAGGUAUCUGAGCACAAGCUACAUCGGUGCAAGGCUAGUUACUGUGCCAGGAGAACAUGUCCAACUGCCUCUUAAUAAAAGGAUGAUAAAGAGAAGGCUAGUAUUCUCCUGGAGAAGCUGGCAGUCCAUGGCUUUGACAGGUACAUUCUUUACUUUCUGGGCAAAAAACUGGCUGAAGGACAAGCCCAGAGCGUGGUGGAAAACUACGCCAAGAUUUCCAAGCUUGUAGACGCCACCACUGCAACAUCUGAUUGGAACAACUGCUACCAUCCGGAGCUGAGCACAUCUGAACUGGUGAACCGUCUGACUGAUCCCCACUCACUGUGAAAUGACCAAAGUGAUUGAGAGAAGCUAAUAGCAGUAGUCCAGAGCUCAGAGAGAUUUGAAGACAUUCUCCAUAGUGCUGUGGUCUUACAAGUCAAACACAAACUGUGGACACAGGAUGCAGAAUUGUAGUCCCUGGAGAAAGGAACGGCUGUCUUCCACCCAUAUAACUCAAAAAGUGGAAACUUCUCAGUUGUUUUAAAUGCUUUCCUUUCCAACUGCUCAUCACAUCGGCUUAAGAUCACGUAAUUCAAAAACUGCAGAUCAUUUGCAGUGCUCAAACUUCCACGCACAAUUUUCAUGCGCAGCCUGGUAAAAUCAAGCAUGAGCAGGAAGCAAAUCACAGAAGAAACAUUUUCAUGCCUUAAAAUUACACUGGGAAGAGGGGAAAAAACAAACUUAAAACAUGCAAACAGCAAACUUGUCCAUUCACCGCAGCUGUGUUCCAGCCAGUAGUUCCCACAGCUUCAAGACCAAUACAUUAAGCUGACAGAGAAAAUGGCUGCCGUCUUCUGAGGCCAAGUUACAGCCAUCCUUGUGGUUUGAAAGUCUGAAGUGCAGUGCUCAGAUAAAGCAGGCAACUCUACUCCAGCCUGGUAGAGACAUUAAAACACACGAGAACUUCAGUAGAAGUCAUGGCAGUCCAGUGAAGUUCCCACUGACUGAAAACAGGAGGAGAGAAAAGCGAAGCAGUUUUAUAAAGGACAAAAGGAAGACUCAGGAAACUGCAGGCUAAUCAGUCUCAUUCCUGUGCCCAGUGAGAUCACGGAGAAGAUCCUCCUGGAAACUAUUCUAAGUCACAUGGGGCCCUGAGCAGCUUGAUCUAGUGGAAGGUGUCCUUGGCAAUCACGGAGGGAAUGGAAUUAGACAGUCUUUAAGAUCCCUUUCAAUCCAAACCAUUCUAUGAUUCUGUGGUUCUAUGACUUUCUGUAGUUUCUCUGGAAGGAUGCAAAGGUAUUGUGGAACAGAUGGAAGGGACGGGGCAUCAAUUUGGUUUUCCUCCAGUAAUACGAAGCAGUAGAAGUAAAUACUCCAGCUCUGUCUCUAUUCAUUUCUUGCUGCUUGGGUGGUUGAGUGAUAAGGGAGAAUUUUUUCUUUCUCCUCCUACUCCUAUCCGGCUGAAAGGGUUAUAUUUAAAUAAUGGAUCUUGUAGUCCUGUGUGCUUUGUAAGCUGAUGCUCAAGUGCCUGCUUCUUUACUAUUGUAAAGUUGAUAACACCAUUUUUACAUGUAAAGCCUUCACAGCAGGCAGCUGAAUGGCUGUCCAGAUGGCAGGGUUGUUGUUUGGGAGUCCCUGAGCUAGCAACUCCUUAGUCAUCAAGGUUCUUCAAUUAUUGUCAUCUCCCUCUUGUAAGUGUCUCCACUGAUUCAUAUCAGUGUCACAGAGGUACAUUUGUUGGACUUACUCUUAAGAAAAAGUGGUGGUAAAAAAUGUAUGGCAAUUCAUGAUGGCCAGAAGGGGUCCCUACCUUUGGAAGCAAGGUUUGCUGUUGCUUGUGUUACAUACUCAGCAGUUCACAGUAGUGGCAUUCUGCAUCACUUGGGACCAAAAAAAAAAGUAAGGUAUCUCAGUAGCAGGGCAUCAGUGCAGACUUCCAAAAGUAAGACUGUCAGGGAACCACUUCUUAUUUGAAUUCAAUUGCAGCUUUACAUGUGCUGGAUGCAUAUGGUUUUCCACAUUAAGAUGUAAAGUUUAUACAAAUCUGAGGUGUGAAUGAUUCCACUGAGUGCUGAUGACAAAUAUUUCAGUAUCAACACUUAGCUGUUAAGCUUACCUUAAAAACUUGCUGGAAUGAGAAGCCAUUGGUAAUUUCUCUACUGACAUUAGACAGCAAAAAAAGCAGAGCUUCUGAGCACUUCUUAUGGAGACUAGCUGGAGCACAGGGCAUGUAUGAACUAUCCUUCCCCGCUGUUCCAGCUGGCUGGUAAUUUAUGAUGCAAGAUCCACAGUGUGAGAAGUUAGAGCCCAGAGUCAAUGACAGGAAGUUGAAAAUGAAAGGCCUGUAAGUCCUAAGAGUAGCCAGUCAUGCUCUCAAUGCAAAGGAGCCAUAAAAGUCAAUUAAUCCUUUAUGACUGGGAGUAUAGAUACUUCUGUUGUUGUUGCUUUUUUUUUUUUUAAUUACCCCAUAUAUUCUGUCAAUAAAAUGAGUUCCAGCAAUAUCUCUACAGAAGAAAUGGCAAAAGGUGUGAGAAAGCAGAAAAAGCUUAUUAACUUAUUUCUACUUUCAAAUGUCUCCUAGAUAUCUUGCUAUUUCACUGAGGGGCAUAGCAGAGAUAAGAGGAUGCCCACUUUCCACAGAUAACUUUAGCUGGCAUAGUCACCAACAGUGAUCUCAGAGUAGACAGAGAUAAUAGACAAUUGAACAAGUAUGGCUCUUCCCUCUGCAACUUCUUUAACUCCUGAUGAUCCAUAACACUUCAGUGGGAAUGACCAGGACUUUUUUGUGCAUUGAAACCUGGAGGACCUUAGUCAGAAUCUCAGGAACCUAAGUUAAUAUUCUGAAUCAGGUUUCACUACAGGAGAGUUUAGGGAAUUUCCCACAGUGGGAUCUGAAAGAAUGAGCCCAAACAACUGUUUAAUGUCAAAAUGUCAGCAGAAGAGAUUUCAAAAUGCAUAAUCAAAAUUAACAGUAAAUUCGUACAUUCACAUGGUGGUACCCAAAAGUUCUGAAGAUACUCAAACAUUGAAAACUAAUCUCCAUUUCAGAAAAACAGUGGAAGAAGUGAUGCCACUAUUUAAUAAUAAUAAUAAUAAUUAAUAAUAAUAAACCUCUGCAGGGCUGUUGGCCCAUAGAACUAGAGACAAUUUACCCAAUUUUAACACCAGGUAAAUUACUUCUGAGGAUGGAAGUCACACCACCCAAAUUUAUUUAUAAAAACUGUCAGAGGAUGAACAGGUGGAAAAGGGUGAUCUCACUGAUAGGGUUUACUUGCAUAUCUAAAAUGUUUUACAUGAAGUCUUAUAAAAAAUAUAAGAUUCCCAUGUGGAGUGGUAAACCAGUAUAAGAUAGGAAGCAAAGGAAUAUAUUAUCAAUUUUCACUGUGAAGGGAUGUCUAGUAGAAUUACACAGUGAUGUGUACUGGGACUAUAUUCAUAAAAUAAGAUGAAAAAUGGGUAAAUAAGGAAGCAUAAUGAUGAUGCUAAAUAAUUCAAGGCAGCAAAAAUGCAAUUUGUCUGUGAAGGAUUCAAAAAUACCUCAUGAUAUUGAGUGACUGGAAACUAACAGGGCAAAGUAAAUUUGAUUCUGGCAGUCGUGAAAUAAUAUACAUUAAGAAAACGACAUCUGUAUAUGUGUGCAUAUACAGCAGUGUGUUGUGGUUGAGCUCUUGCCACUCAGGAAGAUUUUGUGUUGUGUGGACACGGCUUUGAAAGCAUCUCUUUGGUGCCUAUCACCUGCAAACUUGGCUUAUAAACUGUUAGGAAAGAAAUUGAGUGCAAAAGAAAACACAUAAUUAUGGCAUUGUAUAAUGCCAUACAUAGAAGUAGGGCUUCUGGUUUAUUUCUGAAAGGAACAUACUUGUUACAGUAAGAAGCCAGCAAGCAAUGAAUAGUAAAUGAAGUGAAAGAUCUGCUUAACACCUCACUGUGAACAAAAAUGAUAAUGUAGACAAAGGGUUUGUGUUGUUUGGGGUUUUUUUGUUUGUUUGGUUGGUUGGUUGGUUUGGUUUUGGUUUUCUUCACAGUUCAAGGCAGGAGAAAGACAGUUGUCAAGGGCUAUAACAGAGGCCUAUCAAAUUAAAUAUUAGUUGGGAAAGGUAAAUAGAGAACAACUACUCCCUCUUUCUUCUAAUAUAAGAAGUAAAGACAUCAAAUGAAAUUAUCAGACAACAGGCUUAAAGCAAAAGGAAGUACUUUUUCACAAACUACAUAAUGAAAUUGUGGAACACAUUACACAGGAUGCUUGCAAGGCUGAAACCAUAAAUGAGUUCAAAAAGAAAUUAUACAAAUUAAUGGAAGAAGGGCCCAUGAUGGGUUAAACUUGAUGAUGUAGAUGCAAUUUACAGGUCAGGAAGAGUCUCAGAUUUUCUGGAGACAGAACCACUGCGUACAUUCCUUAUUCUUUCUCUGCGUAUCCACUACCAGCCACAGUCAGAGAGAUGAUGUUGCACUUCGGUCUUUGUUCUGACCCGGCAAAGCUUGUCUUACAUUUUUUUUCAGGGAACCAUAACCCAAAAUCCACUAUGAGCCUGGAAAAGCCAGUCUGUGAAGCUCAGGCACAAAAUAACCAUUGGGUUAGACUUGCUUUUAACAGCUACUCAGCUCUCAUUUUUGAUGCUUUCUGAUUUUAAGCUCUCUCAAAUUAUCACUGUAUUGCCAGCAUGCAUAUUUGUAUGGACUGAUCUGGUCCUCACCUGGGGGAAGUAGUAGCAAGCACCUUAGGUAACUGUGGCUAUUCAGUAGCAAGUACUGUGACCAAAGAAGCCUCUGUAGAAUAGGAUAAAUGGUGCUGGGGAUCCCGUAUCUGUACUCUGCAUCUUUGGCUGGUGGUUAAUUCUAGCUUUAGUUUGGUUCCACUGAGGAAUACUGCUAGCAGCUGCAUCGCACUAAGUGCAUGGCUGGAGCACAUAUUGCAAUUGAGUUUCAUACAAAGUUUGCAUGUUCCACGGUGUGAACCAAAGCAUAGUAAGAGGGCAGGAGUAGUCAGGAGAUUUAUUGCAAAAAUGUAUGCCUGAUCCAAACUGAAAUGCUAAUGUGGUACACCCACUGGCUGCUACAAGGAGUCUUUCUAAGAGGCUAUUGUCAAUGUGCCAUAGGGUAAGAAUUUAACCUACUGUGAACAAUUGAAGCUUUCCAUUUUGUUUCUCUUUUCUUCCUUUCCCUUCACUACAGUUUACAUUCUGAUUGUGUCAACCCAUUUAUUUAGCAGUUAAUUCAUUGCUUGUAAGUCAAGAAAUAUUGCUCAUUAUGCAUAUAGACAGCAUUGUUUAUUUUCCUGGCUUUUAAGCAAGGGCUUGAACUGUUUUUGUCUUUUUAAAUAAAGCUUCCUGGAUAUCAAGAUGCCUUCUGUGGCAGAGGGCACAACCACCAAAGGACAUGCAGCAUGUCAGAUUAUGUGAUGGAGUCUUGAAUACAACAUGUAACUCUCAUCAACUUUUGUGGAUAGACCAGCAGGUCCCUAGGAGCAGAAAGCUUGUGCAACUUUGCACUCAAAACAAUGUUGCUAUCAUGCAAGCUACUGCAUCUGUAUAUUACAGAGUGCAUCUGCUUUCAGGAUUUAUGAAGGUGGGAUGAAAGAGAGCCAGAGUUGAGAUUCACCUUAGGGGCUGCUGUGUAUGAGCUGGACAGAACUCAGACUGGGGUUCUGUGGCAAUGCUCACACUAGCAAUGCUCAUUAGCAACACUGAGCCUCAACAGACACUAUUAAAUCUUUGAGUACCUGUGUCAGUUUCAGGACAGGUAUGUUACUGACAUCAAACGUUAGACCCAGCACUAGCCCUAUUUGUAUGCAUGGUCUUUCUGUCCCAACCUGUUCUUAGCAAACCAUCACCAAAUAUCAAAGCAAAAUAAAUGCUAGACUAGCACAAUGUCUGUAUUUGAUUCUAAAUGCUACUUAAAUCAGGUACUUGCGUGUUUAUUUUUCACUAAAGAAGUCAUGAGAAAAGCAGAUAUGCUUGUAAGGAAAGCACAAUUCCUUUUGAUUCUAGUAUCUCUCAUUUUAUAAUAUUAAACAUUUCCUAGGAAUGAGAAAAUGUGACCAACAUCCCUACAUGACAGAAACAGUGGUUUAAAAUCCAUCAGUUUUACUAAAAUUUUCACAACAUAAAUACAAUUGUUUCCUGUGAUAGUAAUAAUUCAAAGCUCUGUCUGGAUGUAAUUUAAAUUUUCCUUUACAGCUAUACUUCCAAAUGUCUCAUCUUUUCACAAGUUCAUAGUAUCACAUCAACCUAAAAUCCAGGUGGAGCUAAAGUGGUAGAGCUCACAUGCAACCAGUCUUUCCUAUUUCAAAAAACUAACAAGCAAAAAAACGAACAAACAAAAAAACCCAUUAACCACAACUAUCAUUAAUACUGAGGGGAAAAAAUGUUGUAAUUGCAUAAAAGGUCUCUCAAACUGCCUGUGGCCUGGGCAGUGCUGUGGAUUGGAGCUUGACUACUUCAUCCAGCAGGACCCCCAUCCAAAUAGCAGUAUAUUCAUACUAUUCAGGCACCAAGAAUAAGAGUUUUCUCCCAAGACUGUGCAUGCUACUGUCAUUUCACUUGCAAAUGAAGAGCAGAUAUUUCUUGAUGUGGAAGGUAGCAGUAGCUAAACAACAAACAAUAUUCACAAUACUACAUUAGUUUUCCCAGACAUGUGUAUGAGAGUUAAGAUGAAAAUCUGCAUACUAUCUGAUAAUGAAGUUAGAUCCUUAAAGGCUUAUGAUAUUAGAUUUACUGCUGAAGGGAGGUAGUUGUGAGCCCAUGUUAAGGCUUUUCUGCUUCCACAACUUGCUUUUUCCUUUUCCAAUCCCUCUCUGCCUCAAACCUGCAUAUCAGUUGAAGGUCAAGUACUGAAUCUGUGGAGAUUAUACCGCACUGUUCCACCUUUUGGAAGUACUUUCUCUUCUGCAUGAUGCUUAAGUAGGUGAUGAUACAGUGUUAAAUAGCAUUGGCUUCAUUAACAUUAUCUCCCUCCUCUUGUUAUAACCUGAUCAUAAAUGUUCAUGACAGUGCACUAAAAGAAAGGUUUGUUU
rnacentral:lncRNA from 1 species